AGGACAUCUGAAGUGAAUCAAAGGUUUACCGCUAAGGGAUGGGGAUGCGUCUGAUUAGGCAGCAGGCGGGGUAACGGCCCACCUGGCCGACGAUCAGUAGGGGUUCUGAGAGGAAGGUCCCCCACAUUGGAACUGAGACACGGUCCAAACUCCUACGGGAGGCAGCAGUGAGGAAUAUUGGUCAAUGGUCGAGAGACUGGACCAGCCAAGUAGCGUGCAGGAUGACGGCCCUAUGGGUUGUAAACUGCUUUUAUGCGGGGAUAAAGUGAGGGACGUGUCCCUUUUUGUAGGUACCGCAUGAAUAAGGACCGGCUAAUUCCGUGCCAGCAGCCGCGGUAAUACGGAAGGUCCGGGCGUUAUCCGGAUUUAUUGGGUUUAAAGGGAGCGCAGGCGGAGGCUUAAGCGUGACGUGAAAUGUAGCCGCUCAACGGCUGAGUUGCGUCGCGAACUGGGUUUCUUGAGUGAGUGCGACGUCAGCGGAAUUCGUGGUGUAGCGGUGAAAUGCUUAGAUAUCACGAAGAACCCCGAUUGCGAAGGCAGCUGACGAGCCCUUUACUGACGCUAAAGCUCGAAGGUGCGG
rnacentral:rRNA from 1 species